AACGCGAAGAACCUUACCCAGACUUGACAUCGAUCGCAAGCUUAAGAAAUUAGGCCCUCUCCCACAAGGAGACGUGAAGACACUUGUUGCAUGGCUGUCGUCAGCUCGUGCCGUGAGGUGUACGGUUAAGUCCGCCAACGAGCGCAACCCUCGUCCUGUGUUACCAGCAUGAAAGAUGGGGACUCACAGGAGACCGCCGGUGUAAGCCGGAGGAAGGUGGGGAUGACGUCAAGUCAGCAUGGCAGUUACGUCUGGGGCUUCACACAUGCUACAAUGGACGCAACAAAGGGCAGCGAUACCGCGAGGUGGAGCCAAUCCCAAAAAUACGUCCCCAGUUCAGAUUGCAGUCUGCAACUCGACUGCAUGAAGUCGGAAUCGCUAGUAAACGCAGGUCAGCUAUACUGCGUUGAAUACGUUCCCGGGCCUUGUACACACCGAGACGUA
rnacentral:rRNA from 1 species